CGUAGCUCAGCUGGAUAGAGCAACGGCCUUCUAAGCCGUGGGUCGGGGGUUCGAAUCCCUU
rnacentral:tRNA from 1 species